rnacentral:misc_RNA from 1 species
GCAAACUUGGUCAUUUAGAGGAAGUAAAAGUCGUAACAAGGUCUCCGUUGGUGAACCAGCGGAGGGAUCAUUACCGAGUUUACAACUCCCAAACCCAAUGUGAACCUUACCUAUCGUUGCUUCGGCGGGACCGCCCCGGCGCCGACUCAGGCCCGGACCCAGGCGCCCGCCGGAGGCCCGAAACUCUUGCUGCUGUCAAGUUUUCUCCUCUGAUUGCACAAAAACAAAAUAAAUCAAAACUUUCAACAACGGAUCUCUUGGUUCUGGCAUCGAUGAAGAACGCAGC